AUGGCAGAUGACCCUGGUGCUGCAGGAGGGCCUGGAGGCCCCGGGGACCCUGGAAUGGGAGGCUGAGGCGGCUUCCGCAGAGGCUUUGGCAGCAGCGUUCUAGGCCAGGGUCGCGGCAGGGGCCAAGGCCUCAGAGGUGGUGGAGGCUAAGCUGAGGCCAAGGAGUGGCUCCCCAUCACCAAGAUGGGCCGCCUGGUCAAAGACAUGAAGAUCAAGUCUCUGGAAGAGAUCUCUCUCUUCUCUCUGCCCAUCAGGGAAUCCAAGAUCAUUGACUUUUCCUGGGGGCACCCCUCAAGGAUGAGGUUUUGAAGAUCAUGUCGGUGCCAAAGCAGACCCGUGCUGGUCAGCGGACCAGGUCAAGGCAUUUGUUGCCACCGGAGAUUACAACCGUAAACGUCGGUUUGGGCGUCAGGUGCUCUAAGGAGGUAGCCACCGCCAUUCGUGGGGCCAUCAUUCUGGCCAAACUCUCCACUGUCCCCCUGCGGUGAGGCUACUGGGGGAACAAGGUCAGCAAGCCCCAUACCGUCCCUUACAAGGUGACUGGCUGCCGUGGCUGCGUGCUGGUGUGCCUCAUCCCUGCCCCCAGGGGCACUGGUUGUCUCAGCCCCUGUGCUCAAGAAGCUACUGAUGACGGCGGGAAUUGACGACUGCUACACCUCUGCCAGGGGCUGCACUGCCACCAUGGGCAACUUCGCCAAGGCCACCUUUGAUGUCAUUUCCAAGACAUACAGCUGUCUCACUCCUGAUCUCUUGAAAGGGAGUGUUCACCAAGUCUCCAUAUCAGGAAUUCACUGACCAUCUUGUGAAGACCCACACCAGAGUUUCCGUGCAGAGGACCCAGGCUCCAGCUGUGGCCACCGCAUAGUUCUAUAUGAGAACAAUAAAAUGAAUGAAACUGGA